AUAAUGGCCGUCAUUCCCACAUGUUACAGUAGAAGAUACUCUAGAACUCUACAAGGUUAAAAAGGUAACGUGUAGUUUGUCCCAAGGUGUCUGCCUCCUCACCCAGAGCCAGACCUCCACCUCCUCACCCAGAGCCAGACCUCCACCUCCUCAACCAGAGCCAGACCUCCACCUCCUGUCAGAAGUCCUCCAGAACAGCUGAAAGGUGAGGCUGAGAGGCUUGGGACCGGAGGCUUGUGGUACCAGGAUGGACCAGAGACUGAGGCUGGAGACCAGGGGCCUGCAGCACUGGACGAGAGGGAAUCCAUGGCUGGAGGAGCCGCGCUGAAGGCCCUGCCUGGUGGAGGAGCUGACGGGAGGCCCUGCCUGGUGGAGGAUGUCUGUCGUGGGUUAGAUGGAGCCUGACUCUGAAGACUCUGUCUGAGGAGAGCUGAUGGAGAGCUGAUGGAGGAGCUGAGUCGCUGGAGGACGACUAGGAAUCGACCAACAAGGAUUCCUCAACGUGUUUCUGGAGCGGAGGCGAGCUGAUAGGGGAGCCGUGAAUCUGGAGGAUGAUGUCACUCU
ensembl:lncRNA